CUCAGUCCUCGCUCUGGUGCCUGAGGCUGGGAAGCGUUGUCCGUGGUGGCUGUUUCAGUUACAAUGGCCAUCAGAGGCCCUCUGCUGCGCUGUGGGUCGGGGGACACAGCCCUGAGUCUGGCCUCUCUUCGGGCCCCUGCAGACCAACGACCUGACCUCGGUCCACCUGGGCGUGAAGUUCAGCUGCCGCUUCACCCUGCGGGAGAUCCAGGAGAGGUGGUACGCGCUGCUCUACGACCCGGUCAUUUCCAAGCUGGCCUGUCAGGCCAUGCGACAGCUGCACCCCGAAACCAUCACAGCCAUCCAGAGCAAGGUGCUGUUCAGCAAAGCCGAGGAGCAGCUGCUGAGCAAGGUGGGAUCGGGCGCUGCACAAGACCCGAGACCUUUAAACCCGGCGCG